rnacentral:rRNA from 1 species
AGGAAUAUUGGGCAAUGCCCGCAAGGGUGACCCAGCAACGCCGCGUGGAGGAUGAAUGUCGUAAGAUUGUAAACUCCUGUUAGAGGGGAAGAAUAGUACCGGUUGGACCGGUAUAUGACUGUACCCUCAGAGAAAGCCCCGGCUAACUACGUGCCAGCAGCCGCGGUAAUACGUAGGGGGCAAGCGUUGUCCGGAUUUACUGGGUGUAAAGGGCGCGCAGGCGGGAUAAAAAGUCAGUGGUGAAAUCCUACAGCUUAACUGUAGAACUGCCUUUGAUACUUUUAUUCUUGAGUUCGGGAGAGAGACGGAAUUCCAGGUGUAGUGGUGAAAUACGUAGAUAUCUGGAAGAACACCAGUUGCGAAGGCGGUCUCUUGGUCCGACACUGACGCUGAGGCGCGAAAGCGUGGGGAGCAAACA